rnacentral:rRNA from 1 species
UUUCUUCGGAGAGUUUGAUCCUGGCUCAGGAUGAACGCUGGCGGCGUGCCUAAUACAUGCAAGUCGAGCGAACUGAUUAGAAGCUUGCUUCUAUGACGUUAGCGGCGGACGGGUGAGUAACACGUGGGCAACCUGCCUGUAAGACUGGGAUAACUUCGGGAAACCGAAGCUAAUACCGGAU